rnacentral:rRNA from 1 species
AGAGAGAGACAUGCGCGCAUAUCAAUAAGCGGAGGAAAAGAAACUAACUAGGAUUCCCUCAGUAACGGCGAGUGAAGCGGGAAGAGCUCAAAUUUGAAAUCUUCAAGGUUCUACCUUGACGAAUUGUAGUUUAAAGAAGUGUUUUCUGUUGGAGUUUUGGUAAAAGUUCUUUGGAAUAGGACAUCAUAGAGGGUGAGAAUCCCGUAUUUGACCAUUAUUUCCAGCUUUGUGAUACACUUUCAAAGAGUCGGAUUGUUUGGGAAUGCAGUCCAAAAUGGGUGGUAAAUUUCAUCUAAAGCUAAAUAUUGGCGAGAGACCGAUAGCGAACAAGUACCGUGAGGGAAAGAUGAAAAGAACUUUGAAAAGAGAGUUAAACAGUACGUGAAAUUGUCAAAAGGGAAGCGUUUGACACCAGUGUUGUUUUCUCGAAAAUCAAUUAAAAAAGGCAGGAUUUUGUGUUGUAUUGACUUUAUCAGCUUUCUGCACUCUAUUUUCUUGUCUUUUUUAAUGCACUUUUCGUUUAACAAGUCAACAUCAAUUUCUUUUGUUGUAAAAGGGUCAUUGGAAGGUGGCUUUCUUUUCGGAGAAAGUGUUUAUAGCCUUUGGCCUCUGCAAUCGGAGAGAUUGAGGUCUGCAGCGUAGAUCCUUCGGGGUUAGAUACAUUUGUGCUAAGUUAUAGCCUUUCAUAGACAACUUGUUGACUAUGAUCAGUCAUGUAGCUUACUCGCUUAUGCUAUUUUACCUACGCUUAGGAUGUUGAUGUGAUACUGCGAGC